UGCUGUCUCAUGAAGCAGUGUAUUAUUACAGAUAAUCUACGAUUAUCCCACACAGAGCUGUUGGAAUUACUCCAUGAUGAUUUCAAAGAAAAUUUUCUUCUCUAAACACUCUUAUCCCAAGCUACAUCUUCUCCUAUUUUGUACCAAGGCCGGAUGCCCAGUCUGUUGGUCAUGCUGUUACCUACAAUUCCACGUGUGCUCUAGGAACCUGACUCAGGAACACUGGGCUACGAUUCUCGAUGACUUUCUUCUGCAGAUCACUGCAGCGUGCCUCCUCUUUCCUAGCUCUACCACACGGAAUUGGGGCUUCAAGAAGACUGAGUGCAUCCAUACAGAGCACAAAUCCCUUUGCCAAGAAGGAAAUCACAGAGCUUAUCAGGAAAGAUGUGUGUCUGUAAUGUCAGCCAUCCCCGGCAUGCUGAAAUAUGAAAUAAAUGAGAGAGAAGCAUACUGUUUUAAGAUCCUGAAUGCUGAGAGGAAGGCCUCUUCCUUCUUCGCCAUGUCCUGA
rnacentral:lncRNA from 1 species